UACGAAGGGGGGCUAGCGUUGUUCGGAAUUACUGGGCGUAAAGGGCGCGUAGGCGGUACUUCAAGUCAGGCGUGAAAUCCCCGGGCUCAACCCGGGAACUGCGUCCGAUACUGGAAGGCUUGAAUCCGGGAGAGGGAUGCGGAAUUCCAGGUGUAGCGGUGAAAUGCGUAGAUAUCUGGAGGAACACCGGUGGCGAAGGCGGCGCCCUGGCCCGACACUGACGCUCAGACACGACAGCAUGGGGAGCGAACGGG
rnacentral:rRNA from 1 species